rnacentral:rRNA from 1 species
GACGAACGCUGGCGGCGUGCCUAAUACAUGCAAGUCGAGCGAAGCGGCGGUUGGUGGAGUAACGCGUGGGUAACCUGCCCUUAAGUCUGGGAUACCAUUUGGAAACAGAUGCUAACACCGGAUACCAAAGGAUGGAUCCGCGCUGCAUUAGCGAGUUGGUAAGGUAACGGCUGACCAAGGCAACGAUGCUUAGCCGAACUGAGAGGUGGAUCGGCCACACGUGAACUAAGACCCGGUCCAGACUCCUACGGGAGGCAGCAGUAGGGAAACUUCCGCAAUGGGCGAAAGCCUGCCGGAGCAGGGCCGCGUGAGUGAUGAAGGUCUGCGGAUCGUAAAACACUGUGAUGAGGGAAACGGUACCUAAUAAGAAAGCCACGGCUAACUACGUGCCAGCGGCCGCGGUAAUGC